rnacentral:rRNA from 2 species
AAUACAUGCAAGUCGAGCGGACCGACGGGAGCUUGCUCCCUUAGGUCAGCGGCGGACGGGUGAGUAACACGUGGGUAACCUGCCUGUAAGACUGGGAUAACUCCGGGAAACCGGGGCUAAUACCGGAUGCUUGAUUGAACCGCAUGGUUCAAUCAUAAAAGGUGGCUUUUAGCUACCACUUACAGAUGGACCCGCGGCGCAUUAGCUAGUUGGUGAGGUAACGGCUCACCAAGGCGACGAUGCGUAGCCGACCUGAGAGGGUGAUCGGCCACACUGGGACUGAGACACGGCCCAGACUCCUACGGGAGGCAGCAGUAGGGAAUCUUCCGCAAUGGACGAAAGUCUGACGGAGCAACGCCGCGUGAGUGAUGAAGGUUUUCGGAUCGUAAAACUCUGUUGUUAGGGAAGAACAAGUACCGUUCGAAUAGGGCGGCACCUUGACGGUACCUAACCAGAAAGCCACGGCUAACUACGUGCCAGCAGCCGCGGUAAUACGUAGGUGGCAAGCGUUGUCCGGAAUUAUUGGGCGUAAAGCGCGCGCAGGCGGUUUCUUAAGUCUGAUGUGAAAGCCCCCGGCUCAACCGGGGAGGGUCAUUGGAAACUGGGGAACUUGAGUGCAGAAGAGGAGAGUGGAAUUCCACGUGUAGCGGUGAAAUGCGUAGAGAUGUGGAGGAACACCAGUGGCGAAGGCGACUCUCUGGUCUGUAACUGACGCUGAGGCGCGAAAGCGUGGGGAGCGAACAGGAUUAGAUACCCUGGUAGUCCACGCCGUAAACGAUGAGUGCUAAGUGUUAGAGGGUUUCCGCCCUUUAGUGCUGCAGCAAAC